rnacentral:rRNA from 1 species
GACGAACGCUGGCGGCGUGCCUAACACAUGCAAGUCGAACGGAAAGACCCUGCUUUUGUGGGGUGCUCGAGUGGCGAACGGGUGAGUAACACGUGAGUAACCCGCCCCUGACUUUGGGAUAACUUCAGGAAACUGGGGCUAAUACCGGAUAGGAGCUCCUGCUGCACGGGGGGGGUUGGAAAGAGUCGGCGGUUGGGGCUGGUCUGGCGGCUUACCAGCUGGUUGGUCGGGUAGUGGCUUACCAAGCCUUUGACGGGUAGCCGGCCUGAGAGGGUGGCCGGCCACCAUAGUCCUGAGAUACGGACCAGACUCCUACGUGAGGCAGCGGUGGAGAGUCUUGCACAGUGGCCGGGAGCCUGAUGCAGCAACGCCGCGUGCGGGAUGACGUCCUUCGAGUUGUAAACCGCUUUCGCCUGUGACGAGGCGUGAUUGACGGUAAUGGGUAAAGAAGCACCGGCUAACUACGUG